AGAGUUUGAUCCUGGCUCAGAUUGAACGCUGGCGGCACGCCUUACACAUGCAAGUCGAACGGCAGCACGGGAGUAAUCCUGGUGGCGAGUGGCGAACGGGUGUGUAAUAUAUCGGAACGUGCCCAGUCGUGGGGGAUAACGCAGCGAAAGCUGUGCUAAUACCGCAUACGAUCUCUGGAUGAAAGCGGGGGACUCGCAAGAGCCUCGCGCGAUUGGAGCGGCCGAUAUCAGAUUAGCUAGUUGGUGGGGUAAAGGCCCACCAAGGCGACGAUCUGUAGCUGGUCUGAGAGGACGACCAGCCACACUGGAACUGAGACACGGUCCAGACUCCUACGGGAGGCAGCAGUGGGGAAUUUUGGACAAUGGGCGCAAGCCUGAUCCAGCAAUGCCGCGUGCAGGAUGAAGGCCUUCGGGUUGUAAACUGCUUUUGUACGGAACGAAAAGGUCUGCCCUAAUACGGUGGGCCCAUGACGGUACCGUAAGAAUAAGCACCGGCUAACUACGUGCCAGCAGCCGCGGUAAUACGUAGGGUGCGAGCGUUAAUCGGAAUUACUGGGCGUAAAGCGUGCGCAGGCGGUUAUAU
rnacentral:rRNA from 1 species